UCAAAAACAUCGCUAAGAAUAAUUUUUAGUAGAAUCUGCCCAGUGAAUUUUUAACGGCCGCAGUAUACUGACUGUGCUAAGGUAGCAUAAUCAUUAGUCUCCUAAUUAGAGACUCGUAUGAACGAUCUGACGAGAGAUUAACUGUCUCAGUAGCUCUUUGAAUUUACGUAUAAGGUUAAAACCCCUUUUUAAUUUCAGAAGGACGACAAGACCCUGUAAAACUUUACUUUUAAAGAAUCCUCUUCCCUUAGAACUAUCUAAAUUCCUCUAAGUUAUGCUGGGGCGGCAAAAUUUAUUAUAAACAACUUCCCUUCUAACAAAUUGAUUGGACUUAAUAAACAAAUCUUCAUAACAAAUAACAAGUUACUUCAGGGAUAACAGCGUUAUUCUUCUAGAGAGCCCAUAUCGACAGAAGCCUUUACGACCUCGAUGUUGAAUUGAGGAUCCAAGAUGAAGCAGCCCUCAUCUAAGGAAGUCUGUUCGACUUUUAAACCCUCACAUGAUCUAUG
rnacentral:rRNA from 1 species